CCUACGGGAGGCAGCAGUGAGGAAUAUUGGUCAAUGGCCGGAAGGCUGAACCAGCCAAGCCGCGUGAAGGACGAAGGUGCCAAGCAUUGUAAACUUCUUUUGUCAAGGGACAAAAUCAGGCUCGAGAGCCUGACCGAGGGUACUUGAAGAAAAAGCAUCGGCUAACUCCGUGCCAGCAGCCGCGGUAAUACGUAGGGAGCAAGCGUUGUCCGGAAUUACUGGGUGUAAAGGGAGCGUAGGCGGGGAUGAAAGUUGGGUGUAAAAACUACCGGCUCAACCGAUAGUCGCACUCAAAACUGCAGGUCUUGAGUGAAGUAGAGGCAGGCGGAAUUCCUAGUGUAGCGGUGAAAUGCGUAGAUAUUAGGAGGAACACCAGUGGCGAAGGCGGCCUGCUGGGCUUUUACUGACGCUGAGGCUCGAAAGUGUGGGGAGCAAACAGGAUUAGAUACCCGGGUAGUC
rnacentral:rRNA from 1 species